UACGAAGGGGGCUAGCGUUGCUCGGAUUGACUGGGCGUAAAGGGCGCGUAGGCGGUUCGUACAGUCAGACGUGAAAUUCCUGGGCUCAACCUGGGGGCUGCGUUUGAUACGUGCGGGCUUGAGUGCGGAAGAGGGUCGUGGAAUUCCCAGUGUAGAGGUGAAAUUCGUAGAUAUUGGGAAGAACACCGGUGGCGAAGGCGGCGACCUGGUCCGAUACUGACGCUGAGGCGCGAAAGCGUGAGGAGCAAACAGG
rnacentral:rRNA from 1 species